rnacentral:sRNA from 1 species
AAAGGUUAAGUGUAGCUGGCUUUAGAUUUUUUAUUUAUUUUUUAUCUAUAUAUACAUUUUUGCAGCUAUUUUGUGAAAUAAAUCUUGGAGUUGGGACUUAUUUUUACAAUGGCUGUCAUUGGCUUUUAAUUAUUGGUUUUCUUUUGGCAAUAAAUUGAUUAACAAACAAAAAAUAUUCCAAAUAUAUUCUAAUCCCAUAUAUCACGCAGAUUUCUCCAAAAUUUGAACUAGAUUUCGAAAACUAUUUAAAACAGAAAAUAUUUGACAAACCAAAAUACAAUUGCAAUCCCUUAAAAUGAGCAAAACGCACCUAAAUACAUUUUCUAUCAGUUCAUUAAAUCUUAUUUCUCCAAUAUUUGAACUAGAUUUCGACAACUCUUUAAAACAAAAAUUUGUUUGACAAACUAAAAUAUAAUUACAAUCCCGUAAAAUAUUUAUUUCAAUUAGUGGUGUACCACAGAUUUUUUUAACGGGACGGUUUUGGCGGAACGGGUUUGGAAGGAUGUUACUUAAUAACAAUUGUAAACUACUAGAAUUUAACCCGCGGUACACCGCGGGGCUAUUAUGUUUUAAAAAA